rnacentral:rRNA from 1 species
GACGAACGCUGGCGGCGUGCUUAACACAUGCAAGUCGAACGGAAAGGCCCUGCUUUUGUGGGGUGCUCGAGUGGCGAACGGGUGAGUAACACGUGAGUAACCUGCCCUUGACUUUGGGAUAACUUCAGGAAACUGGGGCUAAUACCGGAUAGGAGCUCCUGCUGCAUGGUGGGGGUUGGAAAGUUUCGGCGGUUGGGGAUGGACUCGCGGCUUAUCAGCUUGUUGGUGGGGUAGUGGCUUACCAAGGCUUUGACGGGUAGCCGGCCUGAGAGGGUGACCGGCCACAUUAGGACUGAGAUACGGCCCAGACUCCAACGGGAGGCAGCAGUGGGGAAUAUUGCCCAAUGGGCGGAAGCCUGAUGCCGCACCGCCGCGUGAGGGAUGAAGGCCUUCGGGUUGUAAACCGCUUUCGCCUGUGACGAAGCGUGAGUGACGGUAAUGGGUAAAGAAGCACCGGCUAACUACGUG